rnacentral:rRNA from 1 species
GAGGAAUAUUGGUCAAUGGGCGGGAGCCUGAACCAGCCAAGUCGCGUGAAGGAAGAAGGAUCUAUGGUUCGUAAACUUCUUUUGCAGGGGAAUAAAGUGCAGGACGUGUCCUGUUUUGUAUGUACCCUGAGAAUAAGGAUCGGCUAACUCCGUGCCAGCAGCCGCGGUAAUACGGAGGAUCCGAGCGUUAUCCGGAUUUAUUGGGUUUAAAGGGUGCGUAGGUGGUUUGAUAAGUCAGCGGUGAAAGUUUGCAGCUUAACUGUAAAAAUGCCGUUGAAACUGUCGGACUUGAGUGUAAAUGAGGUAGGCGGAAUGCGUGGUGUAGCGGUGAAAUGCAUAGAUAUCACGCAGAACUCCGAUUGCGAAGGCAGUUUACUAAGCUACAACUGACACUGAAGCACGAAAGCGUGGGGAUCAAACA